rnacentral:rRNA from 1 species
GACGAACGCUGGCGGCGCGCUUAACACAUGCAAGUCGAACGGAAAGGCCUGCUUUCCCUUGUGGAUUGCGGGUACUCGAGUGGCGAACGGGUGAGUAACACGUGAGUGAUCUGCCCCCAACUUGGGUAUAAGCCUGGGAAACUGGGUCUAAUUCCCGAUAGGACUGCAGGGUGGUGCCUGUGGUGGAAAACGAUUUUCUAGUGGUCGGGGAUGAGCUCGCGGCCUAUCAGCUUGUUGGUGGGGUAAUGGCCUACCAAGGCGGCGACGGGUAGCCGGCCUGAGAGGGUGGACGGCCACAUUGGGACUGAGAUACGGCCCAGACUCCUACGGGAGGCAGCAGUGGGGAAUAUUGCACAAUGGGCGGAAGCCUGAUGCAGCGACGCCGCGUGGGGGAUGACGGCCUUCGGGUUGUAAACUCCUUUCGACCGCGAGGAAGCCACCUGGUUGGAAGGGUGGUGACGGUAGUGGUAGAAGAAGCAUCGGCUAACUACGUG